rnacentral:rRNA from 1 species
GACGAACGCUGGCGGCGUGCCUAAUACAUGCAAGUCGAACGCUUCUUUUUCCACCGGAGCUUGCUCCACCGGAAAAAGAGGAGUGGCGAACGGGUGAGUAACACGUGGGUAACCUGCCCAUCAGAAGGGGACAACAGUUGGAAACGACUGCUAAUACCGCAUAAGCCCACAGGUCGGCAUCGACCAGAGGGAAAAGGAGCAAUCCGCUUUGAGAUGGCCUCGCGUCCGAUUAGCUAGUUGGUGAGGUAACGGCCCACCAAGGCGACGAUCGGUAGCCGGACUGAGAGGUUGAACGGCCACAUUGGGACUGAGACACGGCCCAG